rnacentral:rRNA from 1 species
AUUGAACGCUGGCGGCAGGCCUAACACAUGCAAGUCGAGCGAGCGGCGGACGGGUGAGGAAUGUAUGGGGACUGCCCGAUAGAGGGGGAUAACUACUGGAAACGGUGGCUAAUACCGCAUACUGGCGGAUAACCCAUAUGGGAUGAGCUAGUAGGUAAGGUAAUGGCUUACAUAGGCGACGAUCCCUAGCUGGUCUGAGAGGAUGAUCAGCAACACUGGGACUGAGACACGGCCCAGACUCCGACGGAGGCAGCAUUGUGGAAUAUUGCACAAUGGGCGCAAGCCUGAUGCAGCCCUGCCGCGUGUAUGAAGAAGGCCCUAGGGUUGUAAAGUACUUUCAGUCGGGAGGCGUUACCGACAGAAGAAGCACCGGCUAACUCCGUGCCAGCCGCCGCGGUAAUUC